rnacentral:lncRNA from 1 species
CCGACAACCGCAAGCUCUUUGAGGCCGAGGAGCAGGACCUCUUCAAGGACAUCCAGUCACUGCCCCGAAACGCCGCCCUCAGGAAGCUCAAUGACCUGAUCAAGCGGGCACGGCUGGCCAAGGUUCACGCCUACAUCAUCAGCUCCCUCAAGAAAGAGAUGCCCAAUGUCUUUGGUAAAGAGAGCAAAAAGAAAGAGCUGGUGAACAACCUCGGAGAGAUCUACCAGAAGAUUGAGCGCGAGCACCAGAUCUCCCCUGGGGACUUCCCGAGCCUCCGCAAGAUGCAGGUACGGCUGUCCCGAGGCCCCAUGCAGGCUGGUGGCCAUCAGGGCAGAAGGAAGGCCCAGGGCACUGGAUUUGGAGGGAAUCCCAUCUCCAUGGGGAAGGGCCUCCCUGAACGGAAGCAGCUGGGUUAAUCACCAGCACCCCACCCAACUCAGAGUUGACCCAGGCGGUGACACUGCAGAGGGGAAUGUGGUGACUCACCCUGCGUGGUGGGGGGAGGGCAGGGCCAUGCCAGGCGCUCUGGUGCCCUGUCCAUGAAUCCUUGCCGCAGC